GUGCUUACCAUGCAAGUCGAACGGUGAACACGGAGCUUGCUCUGUGGGAUCAGUGGCGAACGGGUGAGUAACACGUGAGCAACCUGCCCCUGACUCUGGGAUAAGCGCUGGAAACGGCGUCUAAUACUGGAUAUGUGACGUGACCGCAUGGUCUGCGUCUGGAAAGAAUUUCGGUUGGGGAUGGGCUCGCGGCCUAUCAGCUUGUUGGUGAGGUAAUGGCUCACCAAGGCGUCGACGGGUAGCCGGCCUGAGAGGGUGACCGGCCACACUGGGACUGAGACACGGCCCAGACUCCUACGGGAGGCAGCAGUGGGGAAUAUUGCACAAUGGGCGCAAGCCUGAUGCAGCAACGCCGCGUGAGGGACGACGGCCUUCGGGUUGUAAACCUCUUUUAGCAGGGAAGAAGCGAAAGUGACGGUACCUGCAGAAAAAGCGCCGGCUAACUACGUGCCAGCAGCCGCGGUAAUACGUAGGGCGCAAGCGUUAUCCGGAAUUAUUGGGCGU
rnacentral:rRNA from 1 species